AUUGAACGCUGGCGGCAUGCUUUACACAUGCAAGUCGAACGGGCUGGGGGGCAACUCCAGUCAGUGGCGAACAGGUGAGUAAUGCAUCGGAACGUGUCCCGUAGUGGGGGAUAACCCGGCGAAAGCCGGACUAAUACCGCAUAUGCUCUACGGAGGAAAGUGGGGGACCGCAAGGCCUCACGCUAUGGGAGCGGCCGAUGUCCGAUUAGCUUGUUGGUGGGGUAAUGGCCACCAAGGCGACGAUCGGUAGCUGGUCUGAGAGGAUGAUCAGCCACACUGGGACUGAGACACGGCCCAGACUCCUACGGGAGGCAGCAGUGGGGAAUUUUGGACAAUGGGGGCAACCCUGAUCCAGCCAUGCCGCGUGCGGGAAGAAGGCCU
rnacentral:rRNA from 1 species